AGAGUUUGAUCAUGGCUCAGGAUGAACGCUAGCUACAGGCUUAACACAUGCAAGUCGAGGGGCAGCAUGGUCUUAGCUUGCUAAGGCCGAUGGCGACCGGCGCACGGGUGAGUAACACGUAUCCAACCUGCCGUCUACUCUUGGACAGCCUUCUGAAAGGAAGAUUAAUACAAGAUGGCAUCAUGAGUCCGCAUGUUCACAUGAUUAAAGGUAUUCCGGUAGACGAUGGGGAUGCGUUCCAUUAGAUAGUAGGCGGGGUAACGGCCCACCUAGUCUUCGAUGGAUAGGGGUUCUGAGAGGAAGGUCCCCCACAUUGGAACUGAGACACGGUCCAAACUCCUACGGGAGGCAGCAGCGAGGAAUAUUGGUCAAUGGGCGAGAGCCUGAACCAGCCAAGUAGCGUGAAGGAUGACUGCCCUAUGGGUUGUAAACUUCUUUUAUAAAGGAAUAAAGUCGGGUAUGCAUACCCGUUUGCAUGUACUUUAUGAAUAAGGAUCGGCUAACUCCGUGCCAGCAGCCGCGGUAAUACGGAGGAUCCGAGCGUUAUCCGGAUUUAUUGGGUUUAAAGGGAGCGUAGAUGGAUGUUUAAGUCAGUUGUGAAAGUUUGCGGCUCAACCGUAAAAUUGCAGUUGAUACUGGAUAUCUUGAGUGCAGUUGAGGCAGGCGGAAUUCGUGGUGUAGCGGUGAAAUGCUUAGAUAUCACGAAGAACUCCGAUUGCGAAGGCAGCCUGCUAAGCUGCAACUGACAUUGAGGCUCGAAAGUGUGGGUAUCAAACAGGAUUAGAUACCCUGGUAGUCCACACGGUAAACGAUGAAUACUCGCUGUUUGCGAUAUACAGCAAGCGGCCAAGCGA
rnacentral:rRNA from 1 species